ACUACGGGAGGCAGCAGUGGGGGAUAUUGCACAAUGGGGGGAACCCUGAUGCAGCGACGCCGCGUGGGUGAAGAAGCGCCUCGGCGCGUAAAGCCCUGUCAGCAGGGAAGAAAAUGACGGUACCUGAAGAAGAAGCCCCGGCUAACUACGUGCCAGCAGCCGCGGUAAUAGGUAGGGGGCAAGCGUUAUCCGGAUGUACUGGGUGUAAAGGGGGCGCAGACGGGGAUGCAAGCAAGGCGUGACAGCCCGGGGCCCAACCCCGGGACUGCUCUUGGAACUGCGUGGCGGGAGUGCAGGAGGGGCAGGCGGAAUUCCUGGUGUGGCGGUGAAAUGCGUAGAUAGCAGGAGGAACACCGGUGGCGAAGGCGGCCUGCUGGACUGCAACUGACGUUGAGGCCCGAAAGCGUGGGGAGCAAACAGGAGUAGAUACCCGAGUAGUC
rnacentral:rRNA from 1 species